rnacentral:RNase_P_RNA from 1 species
UCAGAGGGUCGGGCGGCCGCCGGCAUGGAAACAUGCGGGAGGAAAGUCCGGGCUCCGCAGAGCAACGGUGCCGGGUAACGCCCGGCGGGGGCGACCCCAGGGAAAGUGCCACAGAAAACAGACCGCCGUUCCUUCGGGGCGGCAAGGGCGAAACGGUGCGGCAAGAGCGCACCGCGCCCCCGGUAACGGGGGUGGCAGGGUAAACCCCACCGGGAGCAAGACCGAAUAGGGAGGGCAUAUGGGCUGGUUCGGCCCCGUCCUCCGGGUUGGUUGCUUGAGGCCGUCGGCAACGGCGGUCCUAGAGGAAUGGUCGCCCAUCCAGUUUCGGCUGGUGGACAGAACCCGGCUUACAGACCCUCUGACAUA